CAGGGAAAAGCUCACAGUUGGAACCUAGCUGCCUUAGGUAGUUCGGAUUGUAAACUGAAAAAGUGUUAUCCAGGCUAGCCGAGUAAAAAAGUUUCUUGGAAUAGAACAUCAUGGAGGGUGAGAAUCCCGUCUUUGGCUUGAGCAUAGUCUUUUGUGUUGCACUUUAACGAGUCAGGUUGUUUGGGAAUGCAGCCUAAAGUGGGAGGUAAAUCCCUCCUAAAGCUAAAUAUUGGCGAGAGACCGAUAGCAAACAAGUACCGUGAGGGAAAGAUGAAAAGAACUUUGAAAAGAGAGUUAAACAGUAUGUGAAAUUGCUAAAAGGGAAGCGUUUGAAGACAGACUAGCUUGGUUAUAAUCAGCCUGGAUUUUUCUUGGUGUACUUGUAGCCUAUGCUUGCCAACAGCAGUUUGGUUUGGCUGAAAAAACUAGUAGUAAGGUGGCUCUCUUCGGGGAGUGUUAUAGACUAUUAGAAAAUCAGUUGGACUGGACUGAGGAAUGCAAUGCAGCUUGCCUUGGGGUGAACCAGAUUGGAUAGGAACCAUUGUUCCUUGAAGGUUUGGGUAGCUCUUCGAACUGUAUUUAGGUUGUUGGCUUAAUGUCUUUAAACG
rnacentral:rRNA from 1 species